rnacentral:rRNA from 1 species
UACGUAGGGGGCAAGCGUUGUUCGGAUUUACUGGGCGUAAAGGGCCGGUAGGUGGCUUUAUAAGUCAGUUGUCAAAUACCCAUGCUUAACGUGGGAGAGGCGACUGAUACUGUAGAGCUUGAGUAGAGGAGGGGAUGACGGAAUACCCGGUGUAGGGGUGAAAUCUGUUGAUAUCGGGUAGAACACCGAUGGCGAAAGCGGUCAUCUAGCCUCAUACUGACACUCAACGGCGAAAGCCAGGGGAGCGAACGGG